UAUACCUACGCUGUUCCUGGUCACCGCUUCCUUCCUACCGCCCGUUUUCUCCUCUUGUGUUCCCGCUGCUGGCCAGAACGUGCGUUUAAGAUAAGGUGGCCGGGCGGGCGACGGGCCAACAUAGAGCUGAGCCAGACAGGGGACCGAAAGUGAACCAGAAAAAAAAAGAUGGAAAAUGCUGGAAAAUAAGUAAGGAAAGAAAAAAAAGGUUCUCUGGUCGCCUCCCCUCAUUAUCAAACGGGAAGCUGACCAAACGCAAGACAAUAUAAAAAGAAAAGGCCCACUUGAUUGCCAGUUCCCUAAAAGAUCAAGAGGGUUUAAGAGAUACAGGAAGAUUAAUGGAAGACGAAAAAACGUUUCUAGUAGGAGUAAGAGAAUGAGGAGAAGGAAGAAGAAAAGAAAAAAGCAUCACAUUCCCAUCUCUUUCCUGUGUCGGCUAAAAGUAAAG